CCUACGGGGGGCAGCAGUGAGGAAUAUUGGUCAAUGGACGGAAGUCUGAACCAGCCAUGCCGCGUGCAGGAAGACGGCUCUAUGAGUUGUAAACUGCUUUUGUAAGCGAGUAAUAUGAAGGUAACUUAUUAAUAAGGAUCGGCUAACUACGUGCCAGCAGCCGCGGUCAUACGUAGGAUCCGAGAAUUAACCGGAGUGACUGGGUGUAAAGAGUUGCGUAGGUGGCAUAAUAAGUAGCGAGGGGAAUUUGGUGGCUCAACCAUUCAGACUAUUGGCUAAACUGUUAAGCUUGAGACCAUUAGGGGUAACUGGAAUUUCUAGUGUAGGAGUGAAAUCCGUAGAUAUUAGAAGGAACACCAAUAGCGUAGGCAGGUUACUGGGACGGUUCUGACACUAAGGCACGAAAGCGUAGGGAGCAAACGGGAUUAGAUACCCUAGUAGUC
rnacentral:rRNA from 1 species